rnacentral:tRNA from 1 species
GGGCUAUUAGCUCAGUUGGUUAGAGCGCACCCCUGAUAAGGGUGAGGUCCUGUGUUCGAGUCACAGAUGGCCCACCA